rnacentral:rRNA from 1 species
UGGGGAAUCUUGCACAAUGCGCGAAAGCGUGAUGCAGCAACGCCGCGUGCGGGAAGACGGCCUUCGGGUUGUAAACCGCUUUCAGUUGGGACGAAGGUCGACGCGUUAAUAGCGCGUUCGGCUGACGGUACCUUCACAAGAAGCCCCGGCUAACUACGUGCCAGCAGCCGCGGUAAUACGUAGGGGGCAAGCGUUGUCCGGAAUCAUUGGGCGUAAAGAGCGUGUAGGCGGCCUGAUAAGUCGGCUGUGAAAGUCAAGGGCUCAACCCUUGAAUGCCGGCCGAUACUGUCAGGCUAGAAUCCGGAAGAGGCGAGUGGAAUUCCUGGUGUAGCGGUGAAAUGCGCAGAUAUCAGGAGGAACACCUAUGGCGAAGGCAGCUCGCUGGGACGGUAUUGACGCUGAGACGCGAAAGCGUGGGGAGCGAACAG